rnacentral:lncRNA from 1 species
ACACAUAUAAAAGAUAGGUCACUUCCUGAUAUGGCUUUCUGUGGAAGCUUGACAUAUGACAUUUGAGCAGUAGACUUGAUACAGCUUGCAGAGGCUAGGCAUUUGGCUUGGCUUGAGUUUGGAACAAAUGACUUGUUAUGACUUGAUCAAUUCUUCGAUUGAUAAAUACUUUGCAAACUCCGUACGUGCUGACGCUUAGUGCACUGGUCUGGUUCACAAGCGACUAACACUGAAGUUAAACAUUGUACCGUCUUUGUCAGCAAACAUUGAUCAGUCGGUUCCGGGUUAGUUUAUGCUUCAGUUUGUUGAUUAUAAAUAACCAACCAAGAUAUAUAGAAAUAUCUUGCUUCAGGGGUUGCAC